GGGCGAUUAGCUCAGCGGUAGAGCGUCUCCUUUACACGGAGAGGGUCGGGGGUUCGAUCCCCUCAUCGCCCACCA
rnacentral:tRNA from 1 species